rnacentral:misc_RNA from 1 species
GUUGUGAUUAGAGAGCCCCUGAAUGUGAAAAUGGUAUCCUGCAUCUCUCUCUCUUUCUUUCUCUGACUUGACUGUUUUAUCUGGUAAUAAAAUUGCAUGAAUUUGCGAUUUUGUGGUUGUUAUGUGGCAACAAGUGCAAGGUUAAAUGGUCUUUGGUUAGAUUUGUUGUGAUUAGACAGCACAUAUAACUGAAACAGAUAGUAAGCACUUCUCUCUCUCUCUCUCU